rnacentral:rRNA from 1 species
UACAGAGGUCUCAAGCGUUGUUCGGAAUUACUGGGCGUAAAGCGUGCGCAGGCGGUUUUUGUAAGCCAGAUGUGAAAUCCCCGGGCUUAACCUGGGAAUGGCAUUUGGGACUGCAAGGCUUGAGUGCGGCAGAGGAGACUGGAAUUCCUGGUGUAGCAGUGAAAUGCGCAGAUAUCGGGAGGAACACCAGUGGCGAAGGCGACUUCCUGGCCUGUUCUUGACGCUGAGGCGCGAAAGCUAGGGGAGCAAACGGG